UCAAUAAAUCAAAGACUAAUUCAUUUUAGAUCUGACUACUAAUUAAUGAACCCCCGAUACUUAUUUGCUAGAUCUACCCAAGUUGGUUGGCAUUAGAAAUUUAGAAUAAACUUUUACAGGCUUAAAUUGCCCCUUGCCUUUCGAUAAUAGUAAGCUGUCCAUCUGUAAGUAGUGGGACAACUACCAAAAUAUAAACUAUUCAAAAAUAUAUUAUUUGUUUACCUGUUAGUUUAUUAAAUCUGACAUUACUAUUUAAAAUUGUAUUAAAUUACACACUAAUACAUAAAGUUGUAUUAAAUCACACAAAUCACCCAAAAAAAUGUCACCAAACAAAAAAAUCACACCAAUCUGUAGACAAUUUCAUUUAGUCCAGUAAACCAAGAAUCGAUCCAUUUCUCGGGGCCAUGAUUAACAUCAUUUUCAUGUGAAUAUUUUAUAUCAAAUAAUUUAUCAACAAUCUUAAGAUUCAUCAAUCAUUUCACUUAGGCAAAUAACAAUUAGUCAAUUACAUUUUGGUACUGUAAAACCCCUGCCUUAAAAGUUUCUAGGUCUGAUUAUAGAUUCGUCACUGCACAACCAAAUUUAUAUGUUCGCGAUUCAAUGCCACAUCUUCGAAAACUGGCCAAGGUCCAGUUGUGGAUGUGAACCCCCUUCUGGUAUUGUGUGUGUGUCUAGUGUGGUAAGUUGUAAUACGACAAAAAAAUUCAAUGUUUCUUCCCUUGGAAAAGGCAGGAAUUAAAUUAAACAAAAUUGGAUGAAUAAUAUUACAAACAAUGGAAA